AACCAUAGAAACCUGCGGAGUACCUGCGGAAGGAUCAUUACAAGUGACCCCGGUCUAACCACCGGGAUGUUCAUAACCCUUUGUUGUCCGACUCUGUUGCCUCCGGGGCGACCCUGCCUUCGGGCGGGGGCUCCGGGUGGACACUUCAAACUCUUGCGUAACUUUGCAGUCUGAGUAAACUUAAUUAAUAAAUUAAAACUUUUAACAAUGGAUCU
rnacentral:misc_RNA from 1 species